CCUACGGGAGGCUGCAGUGAGGAAUAUUGGUCAAUGGACGAGAGUCUGAACCAGCCAAGUAGCGUGAAGGAUGACUGCCCUAUGGGUUGUAAACUUCUUUUAUAUGGGAAUAAAAUGUUCCACGUGUGGGAUUUUGUAUGUACCAUAUGAAUAAGGAUCGGCCAACUCCCUGCCAGCAGCCGGGGGAAUACGGAGGAACCGAGCGUUAUCCGGAUUUAUUGGGUUUAAAGGGAUCGGAUGUCGAUUGUUAAGUCAGUUGUGAAAGUUUGCGGCUCAACCGUAAAAUUGCAGUUGAAACUGGCAGUCUUGAGUAGAGUAGAGGUGGGCGGAAUUCGUGGUGUAGCGGUGAAAUGCUUAGAUAUCGCGAAGAACUCCGAUUGCGAAGGCAGCUCACUGGACGGCAACUGACACUGAGGCUCGAAAGUGUGGGUAUCAAACAGGAUUAGAUACCCGAGUAGUC
rnacentral:rRNA from 1 species